rnacentral:tRNA from 1 species
GUGAGUGUAGCUCAGUCGGUAGAGCACAGGAUUGUGGCUCCUGCGGCCGUGGGUUCGAUCCCCAUCAUUCACCCCA